rnacentral:tRNA from 1 species
GUCACAGUCGCCUAGUGGAAGGGCAUCAAUCUUCUAAAUUGAAAUAUGCGGGUUCGAAUCCCGCCUGUGACA